AUUCCAUGAUGAGGACAAUUCAGGAUGUAUUUUUGCAACCUCUUCCAAGCUUCUAGGAUAGAUUCCAUCCCUGUUUGCUGGAAACUUGAGAUUUUCCCAAGCAGAGC